CAAUAGCGUAUAUUAAAGUUGUUGCAGUUAAAAAGCUCGUAGUUGGAUUUGUGGCGUACGGUGUGUUCCGGGCACUUGUUGUCUGAGUAACCUGCUGUUGCCAUCCUUGGGUGGAACCUGUGUGGCAUUAGGUUGUCGUGCAGGGGAUGCCCAUCAUUUACUGUGAAAAAAUUAGAGUGUUCAAAGCAGGCUUAUGCCGUUGAAUAUAUUAGCAUGGAAUAAUGAGAUAGGACUUUUUUGCUAUUUUGUUGGUUUGCGCAAAGAGGUAAUGAUUAAUAGGGACAGUUGGGGGUAUUCGUAUUCCAUUGUCAGAGGUGAAAUUCUUGGAUUUUUGGAAGACGAACUACUGCGAAAGCAUUUACCAAGGAUGUAUUCAUUAA
rnacentral:rRNA from 1 species